AUUGAACGCUGGCGGCAGGCCUAACACAUGCAAGUCGAGCGGCAGCGGGAAAGUAGCUUGCUACUUUUGCCGGCGAGCGGCGGACGGGUGAGUAACGCCUGGGAAAUUGCCCAGUCGAGGGGGAUAACAGUUGGAAACGACUGCUAAUACCGCAUACACCCUACGGGGGAAAGCAGGGGACCUUCGGGCCUUGCGCGAUUGGAUAUGCCCAGGUGGGAUUAGCUAGUUGGUGAGGUAAUGGCUCACCAAGGCGACGAUCCCUAGCUGGUCUGAGAGGAUGAUCAGCCACACUGGAACUGAGACACGGUCCAGACUCCUACGGGAGGCAGCAGUGGGGAAUAUUGCACAAUGGGGGAAACCCUGAUGCAGCCAUGCCGCGUGUGUGAAGAAGGCCUUCGGGUUGUAAAGCACUUUCAGCGAGGAGGAAAGGUCAGUAGCUAAUAUCUGCUGACUGUGACGUUACUCGCAGAAGAAGCACCGGCUAACUCCGUGCCAGCCGCCGCAGUAAGAC
rnacentral:rRNA from 1 species